UGCUAAUCUGCGAUAAGCGUCGGUAAGGUGAUAUGAACCGUUAUAACCGGCGAUUUCCGAAUGGGGAAACCCAGUGUGUUUCGACACACUAUCAUUAACUGAAUCCAUAGGUUAAUGAGGCGAACCGGGGGAACUGAAACAUCUAAGUACCCCGAGGAAAAGAAAUCAACCGAGAUUCCCCCAGUAGCGGCGAGCGAACGGGGAGCAGCCCAGAGCCUGAAUCAGUGUGUGUGUUAGUGGAAGCGUCUGGAAAGGCGCGCGAUACAGGGUGACAGCCCCGUACACAAAAAUGCACAUGCUGUGAGCUCGAUGAGUAGGGCGGGACACGUGGUAUCCUGUCUGAAUAUGGGGGGACCAUCCUCCAAGGCUAAAUACUCCUGACUGACCGAUAGUGAACCAGUACCGUGAGGGAAAGGCGAAAAGAACCCCGGCGAGGGGAGUGAAAAAGAACCUGAAACCGUGUACGUACAAGCAGUGGGAGCACGCUUAGGCGUGUGACUGCGUACCUUUUGUAUAAUGGGUCAGCGACUUAUAUUCUGUAGCAAGGUUAACCGAAUAGGGGAGCCGAAGGGAAACCGAGUCUUAACUGGGCGUUAAGUUGCAGGGUAUAGACCCGAAACCCGGUGAUCUAGCCAUGGGCAGGUUGAAGGUUGGGUAACACUAACUGGAGGACCGAACCGACUAAUGUUGAAAAAUUAGCGGAUGACUUGUGGCUGGGGGUGAAAGGCCAAUCAAACCGGGAGAUAGCUGGUUCUCCCCGAAAGCUAUUUAGGUAGCGCCUCGUGAAUUCAUCUCCGGGGGUAGAGCACUGUUUCGGCAAGGGGGUCAUCCCGACUUACCAACCCGAUGCAAACUGCGAAUACCGGAGAAUGUUAUCACGGGAGACACACGGCGGGUGCUAACGUCCGUCGUGAAGAGGGAAACAACCCAGACCGCCAGCUAAGGUCCCAAAGUCAUGGUUAAGUGGGAAACGAUGUGGGAAGGCCCAGACAGCCAGGAUGUUGGCUUAGAAGCAGCCAUCAUUUAAAGAAAGCGUAAUAGCUCACUGGUCGAGUCGGCCUGCGCGGAAGAUGUAACGGGGCUAAACCAUGCACCGAAGCUGCGGCAGCGACGCUGAUGCGUUGUUGGGUAGGGGAGCGUUCUGUAAGCCUGCGAAGGUGUGCUGUGAGGCAUGCUGGAGGUAUCAGAAGUGCGAAUGCUGACAUAAGUAACGAUAAAGCGGGUGAAAAGCCCGCUCGCCGGAAGACCAAGGGUUCCUGUCCAACGUUAAUCGGGGCAGGGUGAGUCGACCCCUAAGGCGAGGCCGAAAGGCGUAGUCGAUGGGAAACAGGUUAAUAUUCCUGUACUUGGUGUUACUGCGAAGGGGGGACGGAGAAGGCUAUGUUGGCCGGGCGACGGUUGUCCCGGUUUAAGCGUGUAGGCUGGUUUUCCAGGCAAAUCCGGAAAAUCAAGGCUGAGGCGUGAUGACGAGGCACUACGGUGCUGAAGCAACAAAUGCCCUGCUUCCAGGAAAAGCCUCUAAGCAUCAGGUAACAUCAAAUCGUACCCCAAACCGACACAGGUGGUCAGGUAGAGAAUACCAAGGCGCUUGAGAGAACUCGGGUGAAGGAACUAGGCAAAAUGGUGCCGUAACUUCGGGAGAAGGCACGCUGAUAUGUAGGUGAAGUCCCUUGCGGAUGGAGCUGAAAUCAGUCGAAGAUACCAGCUGGCUGCAACUGUUUAUUAAAAACACAGCACUGUGCAAACACGAAAGUGGACGUAUACGGUGUGACGCCUGCCCGGUGCCGGAAGGUUAAUUGAUGGGGUUAGCCGCAAGGCGAAGCUCUUGAUCGAAGCCCCGGUAAACGGCGGCCGUAACUAUAACGGUCCUAAGGUAGCGAAAUUCCUUGUCGGGUAAGUUCCGACCUGCACGAAUGGCGUAAUGAUGGCCAGGCUGUCUCCACCCGAGACUCAGUGAAAUUGAACUCGCUGUGAAGAUGCAGUGUACCCGCGGCAAGACGGAAAGACCCCGUGAACCUUUACUAUAGCUUGACACUGAACAUUGAGCCUUGAUGUGUAGGAUAGGUGGGAGGCUUAGAAGUGUGGACGCCAGUCUGCAUGGAGCCGACCUUGAAAUACCACCCUUUAAUGUUUGAUGUUCUAACGUUGACCCGUAAUCCGGGUUGCGGACAGUGUCUGGUGGGUAGUUUGACUGGGGCGGUCUCCUCCUAAAGAGUAACGGAGGAGCACGAAGGUUGGCUAAUCCUGGUCGGACAUCAGGAGGUUAGUGCAAUGGCAUAAGCCAGCUUGACUGCGAGCGUGACGGCGCGAGCAGGUGCGAAAGCAGGUCAUAGUGAUCCGGUGGUUCUGAAUGGAAGGGCCAUCGCUCAACGGAUAAAAGGUACUCCGGGGAUAACAGGCUGAUACCGCCCAAGAGUUCAUAUCGACGGCGGUGUUUGGCACCUCGAUGUCGGCUCAUCACAUCCUGGGGCUGAAGUAGGUCCCAAGGGUAUGGCUGUUCGCCAUUUAAAGUGGUACGCGAGCUGGGUUUAGAACGUCGUGAGACAGUUCGGUCCCUAUCUGCCGUGGGCGCUGGAGAACUGAGGGGGGCUGCUCCUAGUACGAGAGGACCGGAGUGGACGCAUCACUGGUGUUCGGGUUGUCAUGCCAAUGGCACUGCCCGGUAGCUAAAUGCGGAAGAGAUAAGUGCUGAAAGCAUCUAAGCACGAAACUUGCC
rnacentral:rRNA from 1 species